CGAACGGACGAGAAGCUUGCUUCUCUGAUGUUAGCGGCGGACGGGUGAGUAACACGUGGAUAACCUACCUAUAAGACUGGGAUAACUUCGGGAAACCGGAGCUAAUACCGGAUAAUAUUUUGAACCGCAUGGUUCAAAAGUGAAAGACGGUCUUGCUGUCACUUAUAGAUGGAUCCGCGCUGCAUUAGCUAGUUGGUAAGGUAACGGCUUACCAAGGCAACGAUGCAUAGCCGACCUGAGAGGGUGAUCGGCCACACUGGAACUGAGACACGGUCCAGACUCCUACGGGAGGCAGCAGUAGGGAAUCUUCCGCAAUGGGCGAAAGCCUGACGGAGCAACGCCGCGUGAGUGAUGAAGGUCUUCGGAUCGUAAAACUCUGUUAUUAGGGAAGAACAUAUGUGUAAGUAACUGUGCACAUCUUGACGGUACCUAAUCAGAAAGCCACGGCUAACUACGUGCCAGCAGCCGCGGUAAUACGUAGGUGGCAAGCGUUAUCCGGAAUUAUUGGGCGUAAAGCGCGCGUAGGCGGUUUUUUAAGUCUGAUGUGAAAGCCCACGGCUCAACCGUGGAGGGUCAUUGGAAACUGGAAAACUUGAGUGCAGAAGAGGAAAGUGGAAUUCCAUGUGUAGCGGUGAAAUGCGCAGAGAUAUGGAGGAACACCAGUGGCGAAGGCGACUUUCUGGUCUGUAACUGACGCUGAUGUGCGAAAGCGUGGGGAUCAAACAGGAUUAGAUACCCUGGUAGUCCACGCCGUAAACGAUGAGUGCUAAGUGUUAGGGGGUUUCCGCCCCUUAGUGCUGCAGCUAACGCAUUAAGCACUCCGCCUGGGGAGUACGACCGCAAGGUUG
rnacentral:rRNA from 1 species